rnacentral:piRNA from 1 species
ACAGCUGGGGCGGGGUGGGAUGAAC